AUACGGAGGGUCCGAGCGUUAAUCGGAAUUACUGGGCGUAAAGCGCGCGUAGGCGGAUAUUUAAGUCAGAUGUGAAAUCCCUGGGCUCAACCUAGGAACUGCAUUUGAAACUGGAUAUCUAGAGUAUGGUAGAGGUGAGUGGAAUUUCAGGUGUAGCGGUGAAAUGCAUAGAGAUCUGAAGGAACAUCAGUGGCGAAGGCGACUCACUGGGCCAUUACUGACGCUGAGGUGCGAAAGCGUGGGUAGCAAACAGGAUUAGAAACCCUAGUAGUCC
rnacentral:rRNA from 1 species